rnacentral:lncRNA from 1 species
AGGUUGUUCUUAAUUUUAUUAACUUGUACAAUUAGUAUACUCAAUAUAUACUACAACAGAAUUAGGUUAUAGAGACACAUGUUUGGAACAUUUUUGUGUAAGUGUCCCAUUUAUGUCAAAACUUAAAAAAAAAUCUACUAAUGCCUAAAUAUAAAGUCCAAUCAAACCAAAAAUAAAAUGUUAUUCUACUCGACCCACCUCACCCAGCUCAUUUGGCCCGAUUACAAACAGAAAAGAAAAAAAAAAAAGAAAAAUCGAUUACCAUCUCCCCUUCUCUCCUCACUCAAUCCACUGAAAUCCUAAACGAAGAGCUCUUCCCUCUCGUCCUCCGCCGCCACCGCAGCCAACAAGGUAGAGUUCCGGCGGCUGCUAAAUACUUAAAUAAGUGUUGGUAAAUUAGCAGCACUCUUUUUAGCUUAUAACGAUACUCUUUAACUACCACUAUAUACCUAGCGACCCCAUAUAUAACAACACUUUUUAAGAGUGUCAGUAAUUUAGCCAACAGCACUUUUUUUGACAUAUACCGACAUUUAAAAAUGUCGGUAAUUUAGCCAACAGCAUUUUUUUGACAUAUACCGACAUUUAAAAGUGUCGUUGUAGACUGUUUUUGUUGUAGUGAAUUCAUAUGGGAACUCUUAUAUACUUUGUUCAUUUUUUCAAAAAAUAAAUAUGGUUAGAAGUACGAAAUAACUAAAUUUCGCAUUUAGAAUCUCAGAUACCAACUAUCAAACCAUUUACUACUUACAUUAUAAAUCAACGGUACAAAAUUAUUAAAAAUAAUCUAUAACCAACACAAUAUGAACCCAGCUAAUCCAAAAAUAACACAAAAAAAUAUAAAUUAUUUUUUGAACAUUCAAAAUU